AGAGAGACCGUUCGAUCCUAACGGCGGCGAGAGAGAGAGACCGAUCGAUCCUAACGGCGGCGAGAGAGAGAGAGAGAGACCGUUCGAUCCUAACGGCGGCGAGAGAGAGCAAGCGGACCUGAAGAACAAGUCAGAGGAGGCAUCGACGUCUUGACUCUUGCGUGUUCGUGGACGAGGACUGAGACGAUGAUUUGAUUCGACUCAGAACAAACACGGUCGCCGGCGUGCGGUUAGGGUUAAUAACGUAGCGAUCACAAGGCGACGAAAGAGAGAGAUAGACCCAAAACAAGUCAGAGGUUUGUGACUGUGGCUGUGUGUUCUAUAGGUUUACCACUAAGAAGGAGGGGACUUAUCUGCUAAGUUUGUUGUCAGGACGGUGAUGUGUGGUUUGGUUGAGCUGUCAUGAUGCGUCUCUGGAGGUUUAGCACUUUGGAGCCCAAUUGAUCUCUUUAUCUAUCCUCGUCUUCUUAGCUUAUAUCAUGUUGUUAGUCGAAGCUUUAACAAUGCCAAUGACAAGAGACUGCUUCUGCCCCCAGCUUCCUGCUAGUUCCAAUUCUUACAUGACAAGUGAUCCUGGUGUUGUGAACUACUUCAAUCUUUUGUUAGAGAGAUGAAGCUCAAUCGUCAAGUCAGAUGAUGGAGAUAUUAUCAAGGAUGAUGCUAAACUCGUGGACCCAAAUGAUGGUAGAAUUCUCUUCACUGUACCAGAAUUUAGGGCAAAACCCUUGAUUUUACUGAGCCAAAUGGAGUCUGGAAGCAGGUUUCGGUUUGCAGGUUUGCUUACAAUGCUUGAAGCUAAGUAUAAGAUUGGAGAUAUGCUAUGGUUUGAAGAAUGAAUAAGAUUCAGAACCAAAAAGGUAAAACAUCAAACUGAUUCUUCUUGUUAUAGGUGUCUUUGACUCAAUACAUCUUCCGUUCUCGUCCACUUCGAUUUCCCAAUCUUUAAGUCAGUAAGUUGCUUUAUUUACUUUAUUUCAAUUUUAUAAACUGUAAUGCAUUACUCGAAGAGAGCUAAAUGGUGUCAUGAGUGUUUUCUUUGUUUCUUGUUUUUCUUUCUAUCAACAGUGUAACAAGAAUCUCAGGUUUAUGUUUCAUUUUGCAGGUUUUCAUAAAGUGGAUGUGUUUGGAAAAAACAUUUUGCAGUAAAUUUUUUUUUUUUUUGAGCUCUUCACAGUAACGUUUUUGAGUUAUGUUUGGUUAGGCUGAAGGGAAAGAAGAAGGAGAAAAUGAUGAAGAAGUUGAAGAAUCAGAGGGAGAAGAAUCUGAUUACAGAGGUUAUUAUCAGAAUCAAGACUUCAAUGAUGGUGACAGACGAUUAUAUUUAGGCAGAUGAUGGAGGGAUAAUAUGGGGAUAUUAAAUAGUGGGUUUCUUUCUUUCUUUGGGCUGAAACAGGUGUGUGUUCGUGUUUUCCAACCAAGACGAUGAUUGAAGAAAGAAGAAGGUUCAUAGCAAAGCAAUCAGAUGAUGCUCUUCUCAGAGCUGUUGGAUGGUUCGUGCGGCUCUUGAAGUAUUUGUCAAUUUUAAGACCGAUAACAGUGUUAAAGUGACGAGAGAGUAAACAGGCCUGAACAAGUCAGAGGUUUGUGUCUGUGGCUGUGUGUUCCAAACCAGGACGAUGAAUCAUAAUUUCUCAAGGACGUACGAAA